AACGUAGGAGGCAAGCGUUAUCCGGAGUUACUGGGCGUAAAGCGCACGUAGGCGGUUGGGUAAGUCGGAUGUGAAAGCCCUGGGCUUAACCUGGGAACUGCAUUCGAUACUGCUCGGCUAGAGUAUGGGAGAGGGAAGCGGAAUUUCCGGUGUAGCGGUGAAAUGCGUAGAUAUCGGAAGGAACACCAAUGGCGAAGGCAGCUUCCUGGCCCAAUACUGACGCUCAGGUGCGAAAGCGUGGGGAUCAAACAGG
rnacentral:rRNA from 1 species